ACGGAGGAUGCAAGCGUUAUCCGGAAUUAUUGGGCGUAAAGCGUACGUAGGCUGUUUGAUAAGUCUGUUGUCAAAGCGCGAGGCUCAACCUUGUAAAGGCAAUGGAAACUGUGAGACUAGAGAGAGAUAGGGGCAGGAGGAAUUCCAGGUGUAGCGGUGAAAUGCGUAGAUAUCUGGAAGAACACCAGUGGCGAAAGCGUCCUGCUGGAUCUCAACUGACGCUGAAGUACGAAAGCUAGGGGAGCGAAUGGGAUUAGAUACCCCAGUAGUCCUAGCCGUAAACGAUGGACACUAGGUGUUGGCCGUAUCGACCCGGUCAGUGCCGUAGCUAACGCGUUAAGUGUCCCGCCUGGGGAGUACGGUCGCAAGAUUG
rnacentral:rRNA from 1 species